UACGGGAGGCAGCAGUGGGGAAUAUUGCACAAUGGGCGCAAGCCUGAUGCAGCCAUGCCGCGUGUAUGAAAAAGGCCUUCGGGUUGUAAAGUACUUUCAGUCGUGAGGAAGGUGUUAAGGUUAAUAACCUUAGCAAUUGACGUUAGCGACAGAAGAAGCACCGGCUAACUCCGUGCCAGCAGCCGCGGUAAUACGGAGGGUGCGAGCGUUAAUCGGAAUUACUGGGCGUAAAGGGCACGCAGGCGGUUAAUUAAGUUGGAUGUGAAAUCCCCGGGCUUAACCUGGGAAUGGCAUUCAAGACUGGUUAGCUAGAGUCUUGUAGAGGGGGUAGAAUUCCAUGUGUAGCGGUGAAAUGCGUAGAGAUGUGGAGGAAUACCGGCGGCGAAGGCGGCCCCUGGACAAAGACUGACGCUCAUGUGCGAAAGCGUGGGGAGCAAACAGGGAUUAGAUACC
rnacentral:rRNA from 1 species